GUCCUUCCCGGUUGCCUGGCGAUAGGAAGCGGACAGACAGAUAGGAACUGUCUGCUCUUGUGGGAGAUGGCUGCAGAGCGCCGUGACCGGUGCCAGCCCGGAAGCCGAACCGCCCUACCGAGCCCUGAGGGCGACCACAGAAACCCGUCCAGACACACUGAACACAGCAAAGCAGGCGCCUUCCCACACACACCUCCCCGGGUCCUCUGCGACCUUUGGUCUCUUGAGUUUUCAAAACUCUGGAAACCUCUACAGCAGUUAGAAAUCAGGAAUGUUUCUGUAAAAGCAGAGCACUCUACUCGUGCGGUAGCGCCUGUCAUCCGGCCAAGGAGGAAGCAAGAGGAGCAGCUGCACCAGUAGAAUUAAACGUGUAGAAUUAAGCGUGUCCCCCUAGUGCUCUGCACAGGAAGAAAGUCCUCCACCUGACCGCAGGCAGCAGGCCGGCCUCCUACAGGAAAAGCAAAGCCCACUGGUGAUGCCCAAUGUCUCUGCAGCACCAUAGGAGGAGGCCCGAGGCUGCCGUGUCACCUGAGAGAGAGUGUGGGGUCAGCCAGGCCUACAUCUGAGACCAUGUCUAGAGACAAGGGAGGAGCUCCCUCCAAGCCUUGGACUCCAGCUGGUGACACUACUUUAGAAACCUUAAGAGGGAAGCCUAAUCAAAGAGGACCAGGGUUCAGUUCCCAGUAUCCACAUGAUGGCUCACAACCGUCUACUGCUCCAGGCAUACAGGAAACUGAAAAGAAAAGGAAGCUGCCUCCUCCCUCACCCUGUCAUCCCCCAGCUGGGCAAACUGCAUCUCUCCCAUGUGACUCAGCUCUCUCCAUCUACAGUGUCAUUCCACCCAAACCAAAUAAAACAGUGGAGGACUGACUGGAUUCUCAUGUCAAUAUUUGUUUCUGAUUCUGAAAUUCUACAGUAGUAAUAUUUUCCGUGUUACCCAGCCACCUGGGUAGGUUUUAAUUAUAGUGCCUGGGCUGCAGAGGAGCUCAGCAUUCACUGGCUGCUCUUGGAGAAGACCUGCUUUGAUUCCCAGCACUCAAAAGGCAUCUCAGAAGUGUUUGCAAGUGCACCCCAGAGGAUCCAAUAUCCUCAAUAGAACAUGAACAAAAUUUCAAGGAUUUUCUUCCUUCCUUCCUUCCUUCCUU
rnacentral:lncRNA from 1 species